UCCAUUCCGAACUCAGAAGUGAAACGAAAUAGCGCCGAUGGUAGUGUGGGGUUUCCCCAUGUGAGAGUAGGACAUCGCCAGGUU
rnacentral:rRNA from 4 species